UACGUAGGGCGCAAGCGUUGUCCGGAAUUAUUGGGCGUAAAGAGCUCGUAGGCGGUUUGUCGCGUCUGCUGUGAAAACCUAAGGCUCAACCUUGGGCUUGCAGUGGGUACGGGCAGACUAGAGUGCGGUAGGGGUGACUGGAAUUCCUGGUGUAGCGGUGAAAUGCGCAGAUAUCAGGAGGAACACCGAUGGCGAAGGCAGGUCACUGGGCCGCAACUGACGCUGAGGAGCGAAAGCAUGGGGAGCGAACAGG
rnacentral:rRNA from 1 species